rfam:Myotis lucifugus cont2.2571, whole genome shotgun sequence.
AUCACUUGGGGAUCUUGUUAAAUGCAGAGUCUGACUCAGUAGGUCUGAAGUAGAGCCUGAGAUUCUGCAUUUCUAACAUGCUCCCAGGGGAUGCUGA